GAUCAGUUUAGAGUGCACUAAAAGCAGAUAUUGUUGAAGCAUUAGUUUGCACUAGAGAUUGGUUAUAUGGCGAGGAGCAAGAAACACAAGAAGAAGUUAAAUUGGACGAGUUAACUGAAGAUGUAAUGGAGUUGGAGAACAACAAGGGCAAGGGCUUAGAGGACGCUCCACCUCAUUCUUCAACUUCUAGAUUUGUUUAGAUUUGUGUUUUUAAUUUUUAUUAUAUUUGGGAUUGUAACAUUAAUAUAUUUACUAUGUGUGUUUUGUUUAUUAUAUUUGAGAUGUAAUUUUAAUAUAUUGUUACAAUGUGUGUG